rnacentral:rRNA from 1 species
UACGUAGGUGGCGAGCGUUGUCCGGAUUUACUGGGCGUAAAGGGAGCGUAGGCGGACUUUUAAGUGAGAUGUGAAAUACUCGGGCUCAACUUGAGUGCUGCAUUUCAAACUGGAAGUCUAGAGUGCAGGAGAGGAGAAUGGAAUUCCUAGUGUAGCGGUGAAAUGCGUAGAUAUUAGGAGGAACACCAGUGGCGAAGGCGGUCAACUGGACAGCAACUGACGCUGAGGCGCGAAAGCGUGGGGAGCAAACAGG